AUGCUUUGCAGAGACCGGCCGUGCAGAGCGAGUGUGUGGAAGGCUGUCGCCGUCAGGCCCGUACAGUACGAGAGCUUCAGGGAGCGCAGUUUUAGGGGGCUGGGACUUCCCCGGGGCGAUCCAGCAGUGACCGACAGUCACUUUACGCCACAGCACGGGACUGGAGGCCGCCGCGUUCCACAGGCGACACACUCUGCCCACCCUACACCGGAAACACACACCGCAGUGACCACGCCAGAGUCAGCGCCGCACCGCUGAGCCUCUGCCAACCAGUCAAGUUGCAGUUCACAUCCACGACAAAUUACCAUAUUAAGUUAUCCUAUUGGUGUCAAAUUAUCAUUUCUGAUGUUUUUUUUAUUAUGAUUUCUUUAGGAUUUUAUGAUGAGGCCAGUAUUUGAUCAUAACCUGUAUGUUUAUUGCUUUUUUUAUGAUGUUUCUGUGAUAAUCUUUCUCUCCAUUAGUGAAGCCUUGUAAUAUCUGGCCACAGGGACUACGGUUGAAACUUAGCCUUCGACUGAUUGAUGUGUACGGUCCCUGUUCAAAUAAAUAAAUAGUUAGCAUAUGAAUUAUGGCCAAAAUUGAAAUUCUAAUCAGUUCAUCCUUGAGUUCAGGUGGACGUUUGAGCCAAAUGUGAAGAACAUUCCCUCACGGCGUUCCUGAGAUAAACGGAAGAACGUACAGACUCCAGGAAAUACCCAAAAGUCCCAAAACAAGAGUGAAAAGUGACGACAUAAUGAUACUCAUAAAAUAACAUUAAUAACUGUAUUGAAGGCUGAAUGUGUUCUGGUUUUCUUGUUUCUUCUAUUUUAGUAGAUUGAAAUAAUUUGGGUGUUGGACUGAUUGACAUUCUGAAACUUGAUGGGCCAAAUGAUUAAUUUACAAACUAAUCUGCAAUUCAAACAAUAUUUUUCUGAAAGUAAUAAUCAUUUGCAGUCGUGAUUAUGAUCUCGUUGAUGUACAAAGAAUCACACAUGACAUGAAAUUGAUUUUCAAUGCAAUGAAAUGUGUAAAGCUGUUUCCAUUGUUGACGCAGACUGAACUUUACUCUGCUACAGUUGAAAUACAAUAAGUGGAAUCAUU